CCUACGGGUGGCUGCAGUGGGGAAUAUUGGACAAUGGGCGAAAGCCUGAUCCAGCCAUGCCGCGUGUGUGAAGAAGGCCUUCGGGUUGUAAAGCACUUUCAGUGGGGAAGAAAGCCUUGGGGCUAAUACCCUCGAGGAAGGACAUCACCCACAGAAGAAGCACCGGCUAACUCCGUGCCAGCAGCCGCGGUAAUACGGAGGGUGCGAGCGUUAAUCGGAAUUACUGGGCGUAAAGCGCGCGUAGGCGGUCUGAUAAGCCGGUUGUGAAAGUCCCGGGCUCAACCUGGGAACGGCAUCCGGAACUGUCAGGCUAGAGUGCAGGAGAGGAAGGUAGAAUUCCCGGUGUAGCGGUGAAAUGCGUAGAGAUCGGGAGGAAUACCAGUGGCGAAGGCGGCCUUCUGGACUGACACUGACGCUGAGGUGCGAAAGCGUGGGUAGCAAACAGGAUUAGAUACCCCUGUAGUC
rnacentral:rRNA from 1 species